UGGGGAAUAUUGCACAAUGGGCGCAAGCCUGAUGCAGCCAUGCCGCGUGUAUGAAGAAGGCCUUCGGGUUGUAAAGUACUUUCAGCGGGGAGGAAGGGAGUAAAGUUAAUACCUUUGCUCAUUGACGUUACCCGCAGAAGAAGCACCGGCUAACUCCGUGCCAGCAGCCGCGGUAAUACGGAGGGUGCAAGCGUCAAUCGGAAUUACUGGGCGUAAAGCGCACGCAGGCGGUCUGUCAAGUCGGAUGUGAAAUCCCCGGGCUCAACCUGGGAACUGCAUUCGAAACUGGCAGGCUAGAGUCUUGUAGAGGGGGGUAGAAUUCCAGGUGUAGCGGUGAAAUGCGUAGAGAUCUGGAGGAAUACCGGUGGCGAAGGCGGCCCCCUGGACAAAGACUGACGCUCAGGUGCGAAAGCGUGGGGAGCAAACAGG
rnacentral:rRNA from 1 species